rnacentral:rRNA from 1 species
UACGUCGGGUGCGAGCGUUAAUCGGAAUUACUGGGCGUAAAGCGUGCGCAGGCGGUUUUUUAAGCCAGGUUUGAAAUCCCCGGGCUCAACCUGGGAAUGGCAUUUGGGACUGCAAGGCUGGAGUGCGGCAGAGGAGACUGGAAUUCCUGGUGUAGCAGUGAAAUGCGUAGAUAUCAGGAGGAAUACCGAUGGCGAAGGCAGGUCUCUGGGCUGACACUGACGCUCAUGCACGAAAGCGUGGGGAGCAAACAGG